rnacentral:sRNA from 1 species
GCUGGGUAUGGUGGUGCAUGCCUGUAAUCCCAGUGGCUUGGGAGGCUGAGGCAGAAGGAUCAUAAGUUCAAAGCCAGCCUCAGCAACUCAGCGAGGCACUUAACAACUCAGUGAGACCAUGUCUCUA